GUAGGUGAACCUGCGGAAGGAUCAUUACCGAGUUCAUGCCCUGAAAAGGGUAGAUCUCCCACCCUUUGUAUACCUUACCUUUGUUGCUUUGGCGGGCCGCCUAGCUACUGGCUUCGGCUGGUAAGUGCCCGCCAGAGGACCCAAAACCCUGAAUUAUUAGUGUCGUCUGAGUAAAAUAUUUAAUAUUUAAAACUUUCAACAACGGAUCUCUUGGCUCUGGCAUCGAUGAAGAACGCAGCAUCUGACUGAC
rnacentral:misc_RNA from 1 species